GACGAACGCUGGCGGCGUGCUUAACACAUGCAAGUCGAACGGAAAGGCCCUGCUUUUGUGGGGUGCUCGCGUGGCGAACGGGUGAGUAACACGUGAGUAACCUGCCCUUGACUUUGGGAUAACUUCAGGAAACUGGGGCUAAUACCGGAUAGGAGCUCCUGCUGCAUGGUGGGGGUUGGAAAGUUUCGGCGGUUGGGGAUGGACUCGCGGCUUAUCAGCUUGUUGGUGGGGUAGUGGCUUACCAAGGCUUUGACGGGUAGCCGGCCUGAGGGGGUGACCGGCCACAUUGGGACUGAGAUACGGCCCAGACUCCGACGGGAGGCAGCAGUGGGGAAUAUUGCACAAUGGGCGGAAGCCUGAUGCAGCAACGCCGCGUGCGGGAUGACGGCCUUCGGGGUGUAAACCGCUUUCGCCUGUGACGAAGCGUGAGUGACGGUAAUGGGUAAAGAAGCACCGGCUAACUACGUG
rnacentral:rRNA from 1 species